rnacentral:rRNA from 1 species
UACGUAGGGAGCAAGCGUUGUCCGGAAUCAUUGGGCGUAAAGCGCGCGUAGGUGGCCAUGUAAGUCCGCUGUGAAAGUCAAAGGCUCAACCUUUGAAAGCCGGUGGAUACUGCAUGGCUAGAGUACGGAAGAGGCGAGUGGAAUUCCUGGUGUAGCAGUGGAAUGCGCAGAUAUCAGGAGGAACACCAAUAGCGAAGGCAGCUCGCUGGGACGUUACUGACACUGAGGCGCGAAAGCGUGGGGAGCGAACAGG